AGACAACUUCCGCAAGGGGGCGCAACUUGUCUUGUCUUAAGACGUUGUAGAUGACGGGACCAGAAGAAAAACCGUCACCGGAAAAAUCACACGGGUCUUCCAGGCAUGCAGCAGCUGUAAGACUACAGGGACCAUUGUGGCUUUGAAACCCCCCCCACUGAUCCACAUGUGCCUUCAAGCGUUUCCCACAUUGCGAGAAGAGCCAGGUCCUCGCUUCUAGCCCCCGACAUGCCACGCCUCGGGGGAAGAGGUGACGCACAGCGCUCACCUUCCUCGGAGCGUGCAGGACCACCGCACGGUGACAUGUAAGUGCUUUUUUUUGCUGAGUCAUGAUGAGG